AGACGUUUGUAAUAUCAUUGAAAGCUUUCACAAGAGAAUGACAAUUAUGAGGGUUUAUUUAGCGUAGCUGUUGUCUGGAAUCAAUGUUUUCACAACCAGUUUAGUUCAGUUCAGGGAACAACAGGAGCAGAAUGUAACAAUGAGACCUUCUUACGAUGGCAGUCAGAGAAUGGGUCGACCUCGUUUUCAUAUUCCCAAGGAACAGCUGGAGCUUCAACUUGAACUCAGAUUUACUGAUGCUGAUAUUGCUAAUAUGAUUGGUGUUAGCAUUUCAGUCAUCAAACGUCGUUUAAGAGAAUAUGGUCUGGGUCGUCAAAAUCAGUAUACCACUAUAUCCAACGAGGACUUGGACACGCAUGUUCUCAGAUUGACACAUGGCAAUCCACUUCUGGGCCAAC